rnacentral:rRNA from 1 species
CCGGUAAACGGCGGCCGUAACUAUAACGGUCCUAAGGUAGCGAAAUUCCUUGUCGGGUAAGUUCCGACCUGCACGAAUGGCGUAAUGAUGGCCAGGCUGUCUCCACCCGAGACUCAGUGAAAUUGAACUCGCUGUGAAGAUGCAGUGUACCCGCGGCAAGACGGAAAGACCCCGUGAACCUUUACUAUAGCUUGACACUGAACAUUGAGCCUUGAUGUGUAGGAUAGGUGGGAGGCUUUGAAGUGUGGACGCCAGUCUGCAUGGAGCCGACCUUGAAAUACCACCCUUUAAUGUUUGAUGUUCUAACGUGGACCCGUGAUCCGGGUUGCGGACAGUGUCUGGUGGGUAGUUUGACUGGGGCGGUCUCCUCCUAAAGAGUAACGGAGGAGCACGAAGGUUGGCUAAUCCUGGUCGGACAUCAGGAGGUUAGUGCAAUGGCAUAAGCCAGCUUGACUGCGAGCGUGACGGCGCGAGCAGGUGCGAAAGCAGGUCAUAGUGAUCCGGUGGUUCUGAAUGGAAGGGCCAUCGCUCAACGGAUAAAAGGUACUCCGGGGAUAACAGGCUGAUACCGCCCAAGAGUUCAUAUCGACGGCGGUGUUUGGCACCUCGA